UACAGAGGUCCCAAGCGUUGUUCGGAUUCACUGGGCGUAAAGGGUGCGUAGGUGGCCAGGUAAGUUUGGUGUGAAAGCUCGGGGCUUAACUCCGAAAAGUCAUUGAAUACUAUCUGGCUGGAGGGUCGGAGGGGAGGCUGGAAUUCUCGGUGUAGCAGUGAAAUGCGUAGAUAUCGAGAGGAACACCAGUGGCGAAGGCGAGUCUCUGGACGACUCCUGACACUGAGGCACGAAAGCUAGGGGAGCAAACAGG
rnacentral:rRNA from 1 species